ACGAAUUAGGAUUUUGGAAUCACGUUCUAUUGGAACUAGAAAGCAAAUCCUAAAUUCUUAAUUCUACUCCUAGCCCACUUGAAAAGCCCAACCAUUAAAACCCAAAAGAACUCAAACCCUCACCCAAAACAAAUUCACGUAAAAAGAAAAAUCAAGCCUCCUCUCCCUCCUUCAACUCCACGUACAGCAUCCUCCCUGCAGUUUUCUCUCCUCCCUUCGUCCGCCGCUUCUGCCCAGCCACCGGACAACCAUCACCGCCGCACCACCAGUGCACGCAACAACCAGCCCUGUCGCCUGUUCCUAGCCGCCACCUACUCGCGCCGCCGGUCUAUCGCAUUAUAUUUCCCGCCAUCGCACGACCCAGCCGCGUCGACGACAACCAUCAACCCAGCCGCUGCCGCGCCGCCGUCCCCGGACCGCCGGCCGCCCACUCUUCCUCUUCUUUUGGCGGAGAAUUCUCUUUAGGCGACUUUUGAAAGUGUUAAGGUGGCCUAUCAGUUUGUUUACACAAGUCUCUAAGGAUCAAUAAGCGUUGCCCAUCUACAGGUUUGAAGAUGAUGCAUCAUUGGGAUCGGGAUUAGAGAGCUUGUAGUUCUAUUUGUUUAGUUAAGUGAUUCAAUUUGUUAACUUGGAUUUGAAACUUGUCGUACUAUUCGUAUUUCCUUAUUUUCGUUUAUUGGUUUUUGGGAUUAAACCUGUAAUCAAUUACUUAUAAACCUCAAAUUAGUUUUAUGUUUUCCGCUGCAAAAUUCUGAAUAAGCCGUUACGUUUUCACACGGGCGAUAAUGCCUUGAUAAUUCUCUAUAUUUUAUAU